rnacentral:lncRNA from 1 species
ACUCCAGCCUAGGUGUCAGAGUGAGACUAUGUCUUUAAAAAAAAAAAAAAGAAGAAAGAAAUGUAUUAUAACAUUAGGAGUUGUAGGCGGCAACAUUACAACCAGUAUUUUUCUGAUUACGAUUUUGUAUGUUACAGAUAUUCUAUAUUGAGCGCAUUAUACCAAUAAUCAGAAAACAUUGCUGAAUCAUUUUGUCUUUAAAGAAUCAUCUAAUAGGGAUGGGAAGGAAUACAAAAGUUGUAUUAAGUAAAUGGGAUGAAGCUCUCAGUUCAGAGAUCAAGAUGAUUGGGGGAUAAGAAGAAGAAAAACAUUCCUGCAGGACUGGUCUGGGCAGAAGAGGAGUUGUGGUAACUAGAUAUGAGGAGAAAGAGAGGAAGGAGGCACAGAGCAGUUGGAGCUUGCUGCCUGGAAGAAUGACGUUUUAGAGACAAGGUCUGACUGUGUUGCCCAGGCUGGACUUCAACUCCUCAGUACAAGUGAUCCUCCUGCCUGAGCCUCCUGAAUAGCUGGGACUACAGGCCUGCACCACCAUACCCUGCUCUAGUUACACAAAUCUUAAAAUGAUGCUGUUAUGUUAAUUCAAUUAAGAAAGUAAACUAGUUCUAUGAUCCAAGCACAUAGUUGUGACUCAAUUCAUGUUGUUGUUUUUAAUCCUGAAAUGAUAUUGUAAAAUAAGAGCUUUGCCUUAAAGUUUUUGUUACUCAGUUUUUACAUUUGAGGUAAGAAGGCAAGUGGCAGGGAAGAAUGAUUAGCAAUAAAGCUUUUUAAAAGUUCUUCAGAAACAGUAGACAAUUGGUUGAGUCAAAUUGACCUAUAAUGACUAUUCCCAGGAAUUUCCUAGUUCUUAUUCCUUUGGAAGGAAUUGUAACUACCUUAUGCCAUGUAAAGAAUGCUGCUAUUUUACGUUUAUUACAAAGAUGUGCCUACAGAUAAGAAUCAAACUGGAGAACUUUAAAAAUGUUUUAACUUUACCUGAUCUUUUUCUUAGAAAGCUAACUGUAAGUAGGAUAUGGUGCCAAGAAAAAUCAUCAGCCUGAUACUGUGAAAAAAAGACACCCUAUUAAUAUGCCCACAACAUUAUCAGCAAGCUAAGUAACAUCCCUGGACCUUAGUUUCAUUAUAUUUUUAACUAAGUAUGUAUCAGAGCCCUUAACACAAGCCCAAUAUAUUUUGGAACCUCAAUAAAUAGUGGUUUUGCUGAUUGUCUUUUUAACAAUUUCUAAAAUAUUGAAUACUGGUUAUUAUAAUUAAAUGUAUUCUAAACAUCUAUUCUUUCUGUCUCAUGCCUUGAUCUAGCCUGUUCCUUCCACCUAGAAUGCCUUUUCCUUCCUUUUCUCACAUAGCAAUCUUUGACAUAUCCUUGAAGACUGAGCUCUCCCAUCAGCCUGGGAGGCCUGGCCUGAUCUGGAAGACGGUUCAGCACGUCUUUCUCUGUUGCCAUAGUGCGGGAUUUUUGUCUAUUUUCAGCAGGUCGUUCCAGACUGCAAGCCUCUGGAGGGCAGUGACUCGAUCCCAUUCAGCUCCAUAUCCCCACUACCAGCAUGGCAUGCAUUGGGGGUGUCCAUACAUAUACAGAACAGAAACUUUCAGGGUUUGGCCAAUUUUACUUUUCCUUAGCAUGUAUUAUCAUAAAGUGAUGUAAGUACUAUAUGCCUGGAUUUGUCUUAUUACUACAUCUAUUUGUUAGUAAAAGGAGGUUACAUGUUGCCUUAGUGGUUUCUUUGCACUUAAAUAUUUUUUAAAUUAUUUGGUUCUUGGCUGGGAACUUAGUCCAAUAUGUCUGCUAAAGUAUUUCCCAUUUCUUGCCACCUCUACAAUAGUGCCAUAAUUUCCAAGUUGAUUUGACAUGUAUCAUCUUUAUUCUCACAAUCCUGAGAGGUAUAUAGAGCAAGAAUUAAGUUCUACAUUUAACAAAAGAGAAAACACACAGAGAUUGAUUGGCUCUAGGUUAUAUAGCUAACUGGUAACAAACCAAUUUUUAUUAAAAUUAAUUUUAAAAAUUUAACUUUUAAAGUUUAUCUUAAAUGAUGAACAUCGCUUGUGUUUUUCUUGCAUGUAGUUUCUAUUUUAGGAGAAUUUGCCUAGGGGUAGUUCUGAAACCAAGUAAAAGUAAUUGGAUUAUGAAGGUCUUCUACCUUAAACUAGCUGUCAACUUUAAACUCAACCAUUUAAUAAUUAAAUUUAAACUUUACAUUUGUUUAAUUUAGUAAUGUUUCUUCACAUUAAUCAAUUUUUCAAAUUAGGAAAGUAAUAAAUGACAAAAAUGGAAGAACAUUUAUUAAAGAUAGAAAAAAUGUUUAAUGGUCUUGUACAUAUAAAUGGUGUUAAUGUUUUGGCUUCAUUUUAAUAAAGCUUUUAUUAAAUAGUGUCAGAGAGAGUGGUGGUUAUUUUGUAAAGAAAAUGUAAAAUCUUUUUUCAAAUUAUAAAAUUACUUGCUUAUUUUCAUACUUGGUGAGAGCCAAAUUAAAAUUAUUUAUAGUUUAAUGGGCUACUUUUCUAAUAUUUGCUAGAUAAGAACUUCACUUGAAUAAAAUAUGUCACAUAAAUUUAUACAACAUUUUUCACAGUGAAUGUGGUUCUCAAAAAUUUUAUUUCUAAGUUGGAACAGAAAAAGAUAAGAAAUAUAAAUAUGUAUAAUGAAUAUAAAUUGAUUUCUUAAUACUUUCUACUCUGACUGAAUAUCAAAAUUAAUUAAUAUGCUCUUUGAAUCCUAGAAAAAAAGCUAAUAGUUUAAGUAUUAGUAAUGUACUAAAAUUAAAAUGACCUUAAAAAGGGAUUCAGGUAUUUCAUGCUAAAUUUUCCUUUGAUUUUAAGUUACCAACUGAUAGAGUACAAAAGUGAUAACUUUCUGAAUAUUGUUGCUGUAAACAAGCAUAUAUUCAGUUCCUCCUGUGUGAAAAGAAGCCAAAUGUAAUGAUUGUGGUCUUAUUCAGCGACAAAGUGCUGAUGAUAUUAUUUCCAUAGACAGUACAAUUCUGCAGCUGGCUCUGUCAGUCUAGGAAGAGAGCUCACUAAAUAAAGACCAUGAAGUAAUUUGCAAUUCAGGGGCAGCAUUUUAAAGGAAAUGAGCUGAAAGUCUACUCAUUAAAGUCAAAGGAAACCUUGUGCUUUUUUUUCUUUUCAAUAUAUUUGUUUCUUCAAAGUGUAGCUAUACCAGCUUGCAUAGCCCAUAUUGGGAAUUCAGAAAAAGGUGACACUGUUAAAAAUUUUACUUUACUUUUUGGAGAAGUUCCUUGGAGAUAGAUCUUUUGGGGUAAAAAAAUUAUUUGGGUGUCUGGAAUUUAAACCUACGUUGCUCGUUUCAUUUCAGACAUAUAAGAAAUGAGUUUCAGAGGCAUUUGUUAGUUGUCUGUUUCCUCGCAGUGUAAGACUGUCAAGCAUAUAAAUGCAGGAGCCCCAGUGGCCUGAAAGCAGUCAAGAGUUCCUACCCUCCUUGGCUCAAUGGAAACGCAAGUGAACUAUACAGCGUUCAAUGGACCAAUCAACAGGGCAAAAAUCAGUCUCCUGUUGGAUACGCAGGAAAGGUAGCUUCUGCUCCUAAAAACGGAAAAGAAAGGAAAAAGGAAGCACCGUAUAGGUCUGACCUCAGAAUACAAAGUCUGAAAAACAAAUGGGGAAGGUUACACACUUGCUGACACAAUCCUUUCUCUGAUGCUAAGAAUGCAUUUCUGUGGCAAUACACAAGGACUCCUUCUAUUACCUUAGCCUUGAAGGUGCCAGCUUGAGAGGGCAGAGACAGGAAAAAUCCCACCCUGCCAAGCCUAUGGUCCCGUUCUAGGCUCUGAACGACCUGAAGACAGAUGUUCUGUUAUCUGGAAGAGGCUCUGAGGACCAGUCUUCAC